rnacentral:tRNA from 1 species
GUAGAUAUAGUUUAAAAAAAACAUUAGAUUGUGAGUCUAAUAACAGAGACUAAAUCCUCUUAUCUACC